rnacentral:rRNA from 1 species
GAUGAACGCUGGCGGCGUGCCUAACACAUGCAAGUCGGGCGGCAGCGAGGGGUGCUUGCACCCUGUCGGCGAGCGGCGGACGGCUGAGUAACGCGUGGGAACGUGCCCCAAAGUGAGGAAUAACUGCCCGAAAGGGUAGCUAAUACCGCAUAUUAUCUUCGGAUCAAAGGAUUUAUCCGCUUUGGGAGCGGCUCGCGUCGGAUUAGGUAGUUGGUGAGGUAAUGGCUCACCAAGCCGACGAUCCGUAGCUGGUCUGAGAGGAUGACCAGCCAGACUGGAACUGAGACACGGUCCAGACUCCUACGGGAGGCAGCAGUGAGGAAUCUUCCACAAUGGGCGAAAGCCUGAUGGAGCAACGCCGCGUGCAGGACGAAGGCCUUCGGGUUGUAAACUGCUUUUAUAAGUGAGGAAUAUGACGGUAACUUAUGAAUAAGAAUCGGCUAACUACGUG